UACGAGUGCCCCGAGCGUUAUCCGGAAUCAUUGGGCGUAAAGGGUGUGUAGGAGGUUUUGUUAGUCUUCUGUCAAAUUCUUCGGCUUAACCGGGGGCUCGCAGAGGAAACGGCAAAACUAGAGGAUGGGAGAGGUGAAUGGAACUCAUGGUGUAGGGGUGAAAUCCGUUGAUAUCAUGGGGAACACCAAAAGCGAAGGCAAUUCACUGGCCCACUCCUGACUCUGAAACACGAAAGCGUGGGUAGCGAAUGGG
rnacentral:rRNA from 1 species